AGUGAACGCUGGCGGUAGGCCUAACACAUGCAAGUCGAACGGCAGCACAGUAAGAGCUUGCUCUUACUGGUGGCGAGUGGCGGACGGGUGAGGAAUACAUCGGACUCUACUUUUUCGUGGGGGAUAACGUAGGGAUACUUACGCUAAUACCGCAUACGACCUACGGUUGAAAGCAGGGGAUCUUCGGACCUUCCGCGCUAGCAUGUGCCGUUGUCUUAUUAGCUAGUUGGCGGGAUAAAGGCCCACCAAGGCGAAGAUCCGUAGCUGGUCUGAGAGGAUGAGGAGACACACUGGAACUGAGACACGGCACAGACUCAUACGGGAGGCAGGAGGGGGGAAUAUUGGAAAAGGGGGGAAAGCGUGAGACAGCCAUACCGCGAGGGUGAAGAAGGCCUGCGGGUUGUAAAGCCCUUUUGUGGGGAAAGAAAAGCAGAAGGUGAAAACUCCGCUGUGCGGACGGUACUCAAAGAAUAAGCACGGGUGAAUUCCGU
rnacentral:rRNA from 1 species